GGGGAAUAUUGCACAAUGGGGGAAACCCUGAUGCAGCGACGCCGCGUGGAGGAAGAAGGUCUUCGGAUUGUAAACUCCUGUUGUUGGGGAAGAUAAUGACGGUACCCAACAAGGAAGUGACGGCUAACUACGUGCCAGCAGCCGCGGUAAAACGUAGGUCACAAGCGUUGUCCGGAAUUACUGGGUGUAAAGGGAGCGCAGGCGGGAAGACAAGUUGGAAGUGAAAUCUAUGGGCUCAACCCAUAAACUGUUUUCAAAACUGUUUUUCUUGAGUAGUGCAGAGGUAGGCGGAAUUCCCGGUGUAGCGGUGGAAUGCGUAGAUAUCGGGAGGAACACCAGUGGCGAAGGCGGCCUACUGGGCACCAACUGACGCUGAGGCUCGAAAGUGUGGGUAGCAAACAGGAUUAGAUACCCUGGUAGUCCACACCGUAAACGAUGAUUACUAGGUGUUGGAGGAUUGACCCCUUCAGUGCCGCAGUUAACACAAUAAGUAAUCCACCUGGGGAGUACGACCGCAAGGUUGAAACUCAAAGGAAUUGACGGGGGCCCGCACAAGCAGUGGAGUAUGUGGUUUAAUUCGACGCAACGCGAAGAACCUUACCAAGUCUUGACAUCCCUUGACAGGCAUAGAAAUAUGUUUUCUCUUCGGAGCAAGGAGACAGGUGGUGCAUGGUUGUCGUCAGCUCGUGUCGUGAGAUGUUGGGUUAAGUCCCGCAACGAGCGCAACCCUUAUGGUCAGUUACUACGCAAGAGGACUCUGGCCAGACUGCCGUUGACAAAACGGAGGAAGGUGGGGAUGACGUCAAAUCAUCAUGCCCUUUAUGACUUGGGCUACACACGUACUACAAUGGCGUUAAACAAAGAGAAGCAAGACCGCGAGGUGGAGCAAAACUCAGAAACAACGUCCCAGUUCGGACUGCAGGCUGCAACUCGCCUGCACGAAGUCGGAAUUGCUAGUAAUCGUGGAUCAGCAUGCCACGGUGAAUACGUUCCCG
rnacentral:rRNA from 1 species